rnacentral:rRNA from 1 species
GAUGAACGCUAGCGGCAGGCCUAAUACAUGCAAGUCGAACGAGAUUAGGGAGCUUGCUCCUUAUGAAAGUGGCGCACGGGUGCGUAACGCGUAUGCAACCUACCUUAAUCAGGGGGAUAGCCCGAAGAAAUUCGGAUUAACACCGCAUAAAAACACAGGAUAGCAUUAUCCAAUGUUCAAAUAUUUAUAGGAUUAAGAUGGGCAUGCGUGUCAUUAGCUAGUUGGCGGGGUAACGGCCCACCAAGGCGACGAUGACUAGGGGAUCUGAGAGGAUGCCCCACCACACUGGUACUGAGACACGGACCAGACUCCUACGGGAGGCAGCAGUAAGGAAUAUUGGUCAAUGGAGGCAACUCUGAACCAGCCAUGCCGCGUGCAGGAAGACUGCCCUAUGGGUUGUAAACUGCUUUUAUCCGGGAAUAAACCUAAUUACGUGUAAUUAGCUGAAUGUACCGGAAGAAUAAGGAUCGGCUAACUCCGUGCCAGCCGCCGCUGUAAGAC